CGUCGCCUGUUUCCAAAAACAUCUCUUCUUGUUAGUUUUUUAAAUUUGGCCUCCCGGCUGUAUUAAGCGUUGAACGGCCGCGGUAUUUUGACCGUGCAUCCCUUAGCAUAAUCAUAAGACCUUUAAUUGUGAUAUGGAAUGAACGGCUUGACGAGGCCCGACCUGUCUUGGAUGUGAAUGUUUUAUUGAAUUUGUUCUCUGAGUUAAAAUUCUUAGAUGUUUUUAUGGGACGAGAAGAACCUAUAGAGUUUAACAUGUUGAUUUAUUUCGGUUUGUUGGUUUGUUUCUGUUUUCUGGUUAAGUGAAAAUUUGUUUUUUUGGGGGCGAUGAGAGGGAUUAUUUAACCCCUCUUGGUUUCGUUAUAUAUAUUUAUAGUUGCUGCAUCCAUUAUCGAUAGUCAGG
rnacentral:rRNA from 1 species